UACGAAGGGGGCUAGCGUUGCUCGGAAUGACUGGGCGUAAAGCGCGUGUAGGCGGUUUGGAAAGUCAGAGGUGAAAUCCCGGAGCUUAACUUCGGAAUUGCCUUUGAAACUAUCAGACUUGAAUUCGGUAGAGGAUAGUGGAAUUCCUAGUGUAGAGGUGAAAUUCGUAGAUAUUAGGAGGAACACCAGUGGCGAAGGCGACUAUCUGGGCCGAUAUUGACGCUAAGACGCGAAAGCGUGGGGAGCAAACAGG
rnacentral:rRNA from 1 species